AUGGGGUUCGUGUACCGAAUCGCGAGCCCGUCGGAGUACCUGGCCAUCACCGGGUACGGCGUGGACGAUGUGAAGCUGGCGAAGAAGGCGUGGAUCGCGCCGGGGCAGCGGUGCGCGCGCUUCGACAUCUCCCCGGUGAACUACACCUUCGAGGUGCAGGCGAUGAGCGCCGAGAAGCUCCCCUUCGUGCUCCCCGCCGUCUUCACCAUCGGCCCGCGCGCCGACGACGUCGAGAGCCUGCUCCGCUACGCCAAGCUCAUCUCCCCGCACGACAAGCUCUCCCGCCACGUCAACGAGCUGGUCAGGGGCGUGAUCGAGGGCGAGACGCGCGUGCUGGCCGCGUCCAUGACCAUGGAGCAGAUCUUCCACGGCACCAAGUCGUUCAAGCAGGCCGUGUUCGAGAGCGUGCAGCUGGAGCUCAACCAGUUCGGCCUCAUCAUCUACAACGCCAACGUGAAGCAGCUCGUGGACGUGCCCGGGCAUGAGUACUUCUCCUACCUCGGCCAGAAGACGCAGCAGGAGGCCGUCAACCAGGCCAAGGUGGACGUGGCCGAGGCGCGCAUGAAGGGCGAGGUCGGCGCCAAGGAGCGGGAGGGCAUGACGCGCCAGAACGCCGCCAAGGUGGACGCCGAGACCAAGGUGUACACGGUGAAGCGCCAGGGGGAGGGCUCCAAGGAGGAGGCCAGGGUGACGGCGGAGGUGAGGGUGUUCAGGAACGAGAGGGACGCCGAGCAGCAGGCGAGGGUGGCGGAGGUGGAGGCGGCCAAGGCCGUGGAGCGCACCAACGCCGCCAGGCAGACGGAGAAGCUCAAGGCCGAGCACCUCAGCAAGGCCGUCGUGGACUACGAGAUGAAGGUGCAGCAGGCCAACUGGGAGCUCUACAACCGGCAGAAGGCGGCGGAGGCGCUGCUGUUCGAGCAGGAGAGGCAGGCGGAGGCGCGCCGCGCGACGGCGGACGCGGAGUUCUUCGCGCGGCAGCGGGAGGCCGAGGCCGAACUCUACGCCAAGCGCAAGGAGGCCGAGGGGCUGGCGGCCAUGGGAGAGGCCCAGAGCGUGUACCUGUCCUCCAUGCUCGGCGCGCUCGGCGGCAGCUACGGCGCGCUCCGCGACUACCUCAUGAUCAGCUCAGGCGUGUAUCAGGAGAUGGCACGCAUCAACGCCGACGCCAUCAAGGGGCUCGAGCCCAAGAUCAGCGUGUGGAGCAACGGCUCUGCUUCCGAGGGUGGUGACGGCGCCAUGAAGGAGAUGGCUGGGGUGUACAGGAUGCUCCCGCCGCUGCUAACGACGGUCCACGAGCAGACUGGGAUGCUACCGCCGGCGUGGAUGGGCACCCUCAAGGGAGGCACCUCCACGUCCACCUGA
rnacentral:rRNA from 1 species